ensembl:snoRNA SNORD22 Small nucleolar RNA SNORD22
UCCCAAUGAAGAAAUCCUAUUGCGUCUUAUCUUCUGUUUUGGCGCCAGAACCUGCAAAGGUUGAACCCACUGGGGCCAGCAGAGGGGAAAGAUGAAACUCUGCUCCAGAAGGAACUGUCUGAUGGGAC